rnacentral:lncRNA from 1 species
GGAACCUGAAGUAGUGUCUGUUGCUCGAGUAUGUGAUGUCAUGUGGUCGUGCUGCCAACGAUGGUGGAGUUCAGGCAUGUGGGGUUCGGUGACAUCUCUUCCAACCCAAAAAGCUAUGUAUAUCGAAAACCAAAAAUGAUGAAGCCACCAACUCACCAUUCAGGACUUGGAGGCUCAGCAGACCUAAGUCUCCAUUUCUCUGCCUUGUAUUCCCAUUUUUCCCUUGCACAACGUGGAUCUUUCUGGACUUACUACACUCCAAGAGCAAAGGAGGUGGAGAUGUACACUCUGACCCAAGCCAGUCAACCAACCAGGUAUUUCUGCACUUGUGGACAUAGACAGAAACCCAGUCCCUGCUAUAGAGGAACACACAGAUAACUUCAGAGCAAUAAAAGACAGGGUAGAAGACUCACCAAGAGGGACACUCUGAACCCCCUUAGAUCUGCUGGGCUCCUCAGAGUCCCUUCUCUAUCCAAUAAACUGUAACAUCUGCCAUUAAACUUU